ACUGCGUGACGAGCACAUGUUUAAAGAAAAGAGAACAAAAUUCUCAAACCGGCGCUGUAAGCACGGCGCACUCGUCACCGCGUGCAAGCUUCAUUACCGUUUCUGUGCUACGCGCUGCAUGUGCUUGCUUUUUGCAUUUCAGCUUUUUCUAUUAGUGAUUUGCUUUUUAGUUACUUGUGCGUACAGUAAGUAGGUUUAUAACCUUAUUCUUUUAGCACACGGAAACUUUGUACCUCUAUUCGAGGCGGUUUCCUUGUUUAGGGGAAGUUUUAAUCAGUUUUCCCCCUUUAUAGUUAGGUAUGGGAAAGCAUUCAAAACGUUCUCGAUCACGUUCUCGAAGCAGGGGCAGGAGCGACAAGCGUCGUUUUAAACGACCUCGCUCAAGCAGCCAAGAAAACCGCUUCGUCAGCGUCGCGUCGGAUGAGAUUCUACGCCGCUUAGUAUUAUUAGAACAAAGAAUCCAUUCUCGGCACAGUAGUUCCCUUUCUCGAGUUUCGGAAUUACCAAGGGGAAGCGGCGAGCGUCCUUCUCCCGGAACUUCGUCAGCCAUUUGUUCGCGCUCUGCUCACCAGGAUCUAGUCGUCGGUGACCGAUCCCCAAGCUGUACAGCGGCUUCGGAGGCUGAGGCACCGUCGUCAUGUCCGGAUUUAAUUUUGCCAGAAGCCAAGGAAGAGUACACGCCUAGCGCGGUACCUUCCCGGGCGGCAUCUCCUUUGGAUGAUACAGACGAUGUACUCAUCCUAGAGGAGGACUACAACUUUACUGAAAUUCUAGGAGAAGAGCCAAAUGAUGAAAUAAAUUUAUUUACUUUAAAUAAGGCUUUAGCCAGUAGAUGGGACGUAAGUUUACGUAAAGGAAUUCCUCCUAAAGACAAAGACACUUUAAAGGAUGUUAAAAUUCCUACCAAUCUACCAAACUUGUCGCCACCGGCGUUAAACCCGGAAUUGUUAGUUAACUUGUCGACGCUACACAAAAAGCGAGACGAGAGCUAUUUGAAUUUACAGAAUUCUAUAGCACGCGCUCUUAUUCUUAAUGGCGAAGGAUUGGGGCUGUUAUUGCAGGAAAAUCACCUCUUACCUAAAAAAUUAAAAGACGCUCUUUUGAGUAAAUUUUGGCAGGCGGGCCAGGCUAAUGUUGAUUUAUUCACCACGGUUACUCAAACUCGCAGAAGUUUAUUGGUACCAGCACUUGCUAGGGACCCAGUAGUUAAAGAUAUCGCCGAAACCUCUUCGGCAGACGACAUGCUGUUUGGUAAAGAUUUUGGCGUAAAAGUGGCAGCUGCCAGAGCUUUAGCCAAAUCUGGGAAAGAGCUUGUCGCACCCCAAACUUCUUCUUUACCUCGAGUUUCACAACCAAAUGUAGGAAGGGGACCAGGGGGAUCCAAGGUCCCUUCUGGACAUUCAAAAAACUUGCGUCGCCCAGUACGUUCGAUGGGGAAGGAAAAUGUACAAAGAGGGCGCCAUCCCCAAACUCCGCAUCAAACUACGAGACGUUACAGGAACUCGAUGAGAAACAGGAAGUAGAGGUAAGUAAUUGUAUAGCGGGCAGAUUGUCGUUCUUUUCUUCGGAGUGGAGAAAGUUUACUUCAAAUGCCACGGUACUGGAUUAUAUUUCAGGGUAUAAAAUACCUUUUUUGUCAGUACCGAAACAAAGCUUUCCUCCGAAGGAUUCUUGGUUUCCUCCGGAAGAACUUACGUUAAUAAGGAACACUAUAGCGGAUCUACUUUCUAUGAGAGCUAUACAAUUAUGUGAACCCGAGUUAGGACAGUUCAUUUCCCGGAUUUUCUUAGCAGAUAAACCCAAUGGAAAGAAAAGGUUUAUUCUGAAUUUAAAACAAUUAAAUUAUUUUGUAGAGGCACCUCAUUUUAAAAUGGAGGAUAUUCGUACGGCCUCUCGCUUAGUUAAAAAACGUAGUUUUUUAACCACAAUCGAUUUAAAGGAUGCUUACUAUUCCAUACCAGUGGACCCUAACUUUUACAAAUUUUUGAGAUUUAGUUUUGAGGGGUCUCUAUAUGAAUUUAGAUGCAUCCCCUUUGGGUUGGCAUCUGCACCUUACACUUAUACUAAAUUAUUGAAACCGGUGGUUCAACAUUUUAGACAAAGGGGUGUGUGCUGCGUUAACUAUCUGGAUGAUUUUCUUAUUAUUGGAGAUACCGUUUCGGAAUGUCAAAAGCACACACAAUAUGUAUCGGGAGUUUUUAAAAUCUCUAGGAUUUCUUAUAAAUCGAGAGAAAAGUAACCUAGAGCCAAAAACAAGUCAAAAAUUUUUAGGUUUUACUCUGGAUUGUUCGUCACUGAAGCUAAGGCUUCCGAUAGAAAAGGAAUUAAAAAUUGUUAGUUUGAUUUCUUACUUCUUAAGAGUAAAACGCUGCAAGAUAAGGGAUUUUGCCAAGUUAAUAGGAGUUUUAGUAUCAAUUUGUCCAGCAGUACAAUACGGCUGGCUUUAUACUAAAAUUUUAGAAAGAGAGAAAUUUUUAAACUUAAAAAUUAAUGACUCUAAUUACAACUCUGACAUGAUUUUGUCAAAUAAGGUAGUAUUAGAUUUACAUUGGUGGAUUCGAAAUAUACCAAAUUGCUCUAAAAAUUUUUCGGUGCGAUUCGUUUGAUCUGGAAAUUUUCACCGACGCAUCGUUAAGUGGAUGGGGGACAUGGGCUGGUAGACAAUGCACUCACGGUUGGUGGAGUGAAGCUGAAAAGAAUUUACAUAUAAAUACUUUGGAAUUAAAGGCGAUUUAUAACAGUCUACGUAGUAUCGCGAGAGAUAGAAAAUCUUGCAAUAUUUUGGUGAGAACGGAUAACACCACAGCCAUGUCCUAUGUUAACAGAAUGGGAGGUAUAAAAUUUGAAAAUUUAAAUUUUUUGGCUAGAAGCAUUUGGCAGUUUUGUGAGAGGCGCAACAUUGUCCUGGUAGCAGCUUACAUUAGCUCUAAAAGCAACUCUCUGGCAGACAGAGAGUCUAGAUUGUUACCUACAGAAACCGAGUGGUCUCUGGCUCCUUCGGCUUUCAGCAGAAUUGUGGCGGUUUUUGGCAUUCCAGAAAUCGACCUUUUUGCAUCUUGUAAUAAUCAUAAAUGCAAAAAAUAUAUCUCGUGGUUACCGGACCCACACUCGGUGGCAGUAGAUGCCUUUACGGUUAAUUGGAGAGAUCUGAAUUUUUACGCCUUUCCACCUUUUUCUUUGAUUUUGCGAACAAUUCAAAAAAUAGUCCAGGAUAAAGCAGAGGGUAUUAUGGUGGUGCCUUUUUGGCCCUCUCAAGCUUGGUAUCCACUAUUUUCAAAAUUAAAAGAAAAAGAAAUGUAUUUAGAAAAGGCAUCUAAUUUACUGUCUUCUCCUUUCAGGGAGGAACACCCAUUGAAUCUUACCCUGGUUGUGGCAAGAUUAUCCGGGAAGCGUUCGAACUAAAAGGCUUUCCGAGUAGCUGUAUUCAUACGGCGGUUUUAUCCUUAAGUAAAUCAACUUUGUCUCAAUAUAAUAGCACAUAAUAAGCUUUGGUGGAAAUUCUGCAUUGAUAAGAAUAUUCCCAUCUUCCAAGCUGGUCCACAGGAGAGGAACCAGCUUUAUGUGUUGCUAGUUUGUUAAAAAGAUAUUUGGUAGUAACCAGUUCUUUUCGGUCACAGCAGGCUGAUUUUUUAUUCCUGACCCAUCAACGUCCGCAUAGAGAAGCCACUAAGCAAACAAUCAGCCGGUGGGUGAAGUUAACAAUGGAGCUAGCAGGUCUCGACACAUCCAAAUUUAAGCCUCACUCCACACGCCAUGCAUCAACGUCAACAGCGCUAAAAAGAGGAGUACCAUUGGCAACAAUCCUAAAAACUGCUGGUUGGUCAAGAGAAUCCAAUACGUUUAGAAAUUUCUAUAACUUGCCCAUCACAGAUGACAUGGAUUUUGCUGUUUCGAUAUUACAGGCAGCAAGAUAAUCCUGACCCAGUUAUUUAGGAAGUUAGAAUUUGUUUAAGUUUUAGUUAAAUAAGGGUUACGUUAGUAUACCUACACAAAAUUUGAUUGGUUUAUGUUCGAGAAGUUCAUUUAUUAUACUUUAUGAAAGAAAUCAUUUUACUCUUUUGAGCCACUGUGGCUCGGACUGCUUUGCACGUGGUCUUUAAAAAUCUACGUUGUAAUAAUUCUGAUAUCGAGGACUGGAGGUCGAAGUAAAAUUAUCAAAUCAAACGAACUUACCUGAAGUGAAGUUCGAUUUUAAUUUUAUGAGACCUCCAGUCCGAAGAUAUCAGAACCCACCCUUCCCUUCCCGAUUUGCAAAGCAGUUCUUUAAACUUAAUGAAGCUUGCACGCGGUGACGAGUGCGCCGUGCUUACAGCGCCGGUUUGAGAAUUUUGUUCUCUUUUCUUUAAACAUGUGCUCGUCACGCAGUAGUCCAGGGACGUACUACGUUGUAAUAAUUCUGAUAUCUUCGGACUGGAGGUCUCAUAAAAUUAAAAUCGAACUUCA